GGUUGGAAUAAAUGCAGAUGCUGCAAAUUGAUGGAGGCCUGGUGUCUUCCAGAGUGGAGGUAAAGGCUGGCUGAGGAAUCAGUGAGGCCAGGAAGAGGGCUCAGCUGAGCAACUGAUCAAAGCAUCCCUCUUCAGGAAGGAGCUUCCUGUGUUUUCUCUGGGAACUCACCUGUUUUCCACUCCAGGCUCUCCAAGAUAUGCAGAGCUUUGGGCCAGGAUCCUACAGCCACGGGUCAUGCAGAGCCAGUUGGCCACAUCCUUUGGGGCAAAUUUGGUCCUAACCAGGUCUUACCACGGUAACUGCUAACCAGUCCAUCUUCAGUUAAUAUUUCAUGCGUAAGAUGUUUCAUGAAGUAACUGAAUGGGCUAAUGGGUUGUUCACUGGAUAAGACUCCCAGAUACUCCCUUUCAUGCCAUUCCCCAGAAUUCCUUCACCUCCCAGUGCUGUCUGUAAGGGUGAAGAUACUCCAUUUUGCCCCAUGCUCUUUGCUGUGCCCCAGAUAGGCUCAAACAUUUUUCCCUUUUGGGGAUUUUGC
rnacentral:lncRNA from 1 species